ACUAGAACUCAGGCCCUCACCGGGGCCUGGCCAUCAGAAGGAUGGAUCCCACCUGGGCCAACCUAUCGGCAAGCAGCUGGGACGAAGGGGCGUCU